UUUGUACUCGUUCUGUCCCAAAAUUCUUUGUUUUAGAUUUGUCUAAAUACGGAUGUAUCAAGUUACGUUUUGGUAUUAAUACAUCCGUAUCUAGACUAAUCUAAGACAAGAAUUUUGGGACGGAGGGAGUAGAAA
rfam:Triticum aestivum genome assembly, contig: Triticum_aestivum_CS42_TGACv1_scaffold_435248_5DL